CCUACGGGUGGCAGCAGUGGGGAAUAUUGCACAAUGGGGGAAACCCUGAUGCAGCGACGCCGCGUGAGUGAAGAAGUCUUUCGGUAUGUAAAGCUCUAUCAGCAGGGGAGAAAAUGACGGUACCUGCUUAAGAAGCCCCGGCUAAAGACGUGACAGCAGCCGCGGUAAUACGUAGGGGGCAAGCGGUAUCCGGAUUUACUGGGGGUAAAGGGAGCGUAGACGGCAGCACAAGUCUGGAGUGAAAUGCCGGGGCAUAACCCCGGAACUGCUUUGGAAACUGUGCAGCUAGAGUGCAGGAGAGGUAAGUGGAAUUCGUAGUGUAGCGGUGAAAUGCGUAGAUAUCAGGAGGAACACCAGUGGCGAAGGCGGCUUACUGGACUGGAACUGACGUUGAGGCUCGAAAGCGUGGGGAGCAAACAGGAUUAGAUACCCGUGUAGUC
rnacentral:rRNA from 1 species